GGAUGAGAUUUUGACAAAAUAAAUAAUAAUGAAACCAACAAUCUAUGGCAGCUUGAUUGGUUACAUCCCAGAUUUGCAUUAUUGGAGGAAGUAAAUGGAGGUUUUUCAGCAAGCAUCAAGGUCCCGGCAUGGAGGUGGUUUCGGGUCACUUAGCAAGGUCGUGUUUCCUCCUUCUGGUCCGCACCGAAUGCGUCCUGGGUUUUGUGUGCCAUGAGGCGGUUUCUCCCCUCUUCUUAACAUCUCUACUAUCUCGACGACACGUUUAGGAGUGACAUCUUCAUAGUAAUUGUAUGUGUAUCCUUCAGAUCCGUUAGAGUAGUCGGCGACUGUGAUCAU
rnacentral:misc_RNA from 1 species